rnacentral:rRNA from 1 species
GACGAACCGUGCAAACGUUGUUCGGAAUCACUGGGCUUAAAGGGCGCGUAGGCGGGUCUCCAAGUCGGUGGUGAAAUCUUUCGGCUCAACCGGAAAACAGCCGCCGAUACUGGGGGUCUCGAGGGAGGUAGGGGUCGAUGGAACUUCCGGUGGAGCGGUGAAAUGCGUAGAUAUCGGAAGGAACGCCGGUGGCGAAAGCGAUCGACUGGACCUUUUCUGACGCUGAGGCGCGAAAGCCAGGGGAGCAAACGGG